rfam:Oryza barthii chromosome 4, whole genome shotgun sequence.
AAAUAGAAAAUUACUGAUAUUUCAUCCUUGUGAGAUUGUCAAUUUUGUACCAAAGGUGUAUUUUGAGUAUAACGAAUUAGAUAUGACCCAAAAAUAACAUGGGCCAAGGUCGGCCAGUGAGACGAUGGGGGAUAAGCUUUAUCGUCGAGAGGGAAACAGCCCGGAUCACCAGCUAAGGCCCCUAAAUGACCGCUCAGUGAUAAAGGAGGUGGGGGUGCAAAGACAGCCAGGAGGUUUGCCUAGAAGCAGCCACCCUUUAAAGAGUGCGUUAUAUCUCAAGGGGUUACCACAUGGGCCCACCGAACCUAUUCAGGGAGGAUAAUCACAUUAAAUGCAUGUCUUGUUGCUUGCCUUAGAAGUCUCUGGCAUGCCUUGCUGUGGCGUGGGGCCCGUCAAAUCUAUCAGUCUGACACGGGGACACGCAUGUCA